rnacentral:rRNA from 1 species
UUGUCUCUCUUGAGUGGAUCCUGAGUACGACGGAGCACGUGAAAUUCCGUCGGAAUCUGGGAGGACCAUCUCCUAAGGCUAAAUACUCUCUAGUGACCGAUAGUGAACCAGUACCGUGAGGGAAAGGUGAAAAGCACCCCGGAAGGGGAGUGAAAUAGAACCUGAAACCGUGUGCUUACAAGUAGUCAGAGCCCGUUAAUGGGUGAUGGCGUGCCUUUUGUAGAAUGAACCGGCGAGUUACGAUUUGAUGCAAGGUUAAGCAGUAAAUGUGGAGCCGUAGCGAAAGCGAGUCUGAAUAGGGCGUUUAGUAUUUGGUCGUAGACCCGAAACCAGGUGAUCUACCCUUGGUCAGGUUGAAGUUCAGGUAACACUGAAUGGAGGACCGAACCGACUUACGUUGAAAAGUGAGCGGAUGAACUGAGGGUAGCGGAGAAAUUCCAAUCGAACCUGGAGAUAGCUGGUUCUCUCCGAAAUAGCUUUAGGGCUAGCCUCAAGUGAUGAUUAUUGGAGGUAGAGCACUGUUUGGACGAGGGGCCCCUCUCGGGUUACCGAAUUCAGACAAACUCCGAAUGCCAAUUAAUUUAACUUGGGAGUCAGAACAUGGGUGAUAAGGUCCGUGUUCGAAAGGGAAACAGCCCAGACCACCAGCUAAGGUCCCAAAAUAUAUGUUAAGUGGAAAAGGAUGUGGCGUUGCCCAGACAACUAGGAUGUUGGCUUAGAAGCAGCCAUCAUUUAAAGAGUGCGUAAUAGCUCACUAGUCGAGUGACACUGCGCCGAAAAUGUACCGGGGCUAAACAUAUUACCGAAGCUGUGGAUUGUCCUUUGGACAAUGGUAGGAGAGCGUUCUAAGGGCGUUGAAGCAUGAUCGUAAGGACAUGUGGAGCGCUUAGAAGUGAGAAUGCCGGUGUGAGUAGCGAAAGACGGGUGAGAAUCCCGUCCACCGAUUGACUAAGGUUUCCAGAGGAAGGCUCGUCCGCUCUGGGUUAGUCGGGUCCUAAGCUGAGGCCGACAGGCGUAGGCGAUGGAUAACAGGUUGAUAUUCCUGUACCACCUAUAAUCGUUUUAAUCGAUGGGGGGACGCAGUAGGAUAGGCGAAGCGUGCGAUUGGAUUGCACGUCUAAGCAGUAAGGCUGAGUAUUAGGCAAAUCCGGUACUCGUUAAGGCUGAGCUGUGAUGGGGAGAAGACAUUGUGUCUUCGAGUCGUUGAUUUCACACUGCCGAGAAAAGCCUCUAGAUAGAAAAUAGGUGCCCGUACCGCAAACCGACACAGGUAGUCAAGAUGAGAAUUCUAAGGUGAGCGAGCGAACUCUCGUUAAGGAACUCGGCAAAAUGACCCCGUAACUUCGGGAGAAGGGGUGCUCUUUAGGGUUAACGCCCAGAAGAGCCGCAGUGAAUAGGCCCAAGCGACUGUUUAUCAAAAACACAGGUCUCUGCUAAACCGUAAGGUGAUGUAUAGGGGCUGACGCCUGCCCGGUGCUGGAAGGUUAAGAGGAGUGGUUAGCUUCUGCGAAGCUACGAAUCGAAGCCCCAGUAAACGGCGGCCGUAACUAUAACGGUCCUAAGGUAGCGAAAUUCCUUGUCGGGUAAGUUCCGACCCGCACGAAAGGCGUAACGAUUUGGGCACUGUCUCAACGAGAGACUCGGUGAAAUCAUAGUACCUGUGAAGAUGCAGGUUACCCGCGACAGGACGGAAAGACCCCGUGGAGCUUUACUGUAGCCUGAUAUUGAAAUUCGGCACAGCUUGUACAGGAUAGGUAGGAGCCUUUGAAACGUGAGCGCUAGCUUACGUGGAGGCGCUGGUGGGAUACUACCCUAGCUGUGUUGGCUUUCUAACCCGCACCACUUAUCGUGGUGGGAGACAGUGUCAGGCGGGCAGUUUGACUGGGGCGGUCGCCUCCUAAAAGGUAACGGAGGCGCUCAAAGGUUCCCUCAGAAUGGUUGGAAAUCAUUCAUAGAGUGUAAAGGCAUAAGGGAGCUUGACUGCGAGACCUACAAGUCGAGCAGGGUCGAAAGACGGACUUAGUGAUCCGGUGGUUCCGCAUGGAAGGGCCAUCGCUCAACGGAUAAAAGCUACCCCGGGGAUAACAGGCUUAUCUCCCCCAAGAGUUCACAUCGACGGGGAGGUUUGGCACCUCGAUGUCGGCUCAUCGCAUCCUGGGGCUGUAGUCGGUCCCAAGGGUUGGGCUGUUCGCCCAUUAAAGCGGUACGCGAGCUGGGUUCAGAACGUCGUGAGACAGUUCGGUCCCUAUCCGUCGUGGGCGUAGGAAAUUUGAGAGGAGCUGUCCUUAGUACGAGAGGACCGGGAUGGACAUACCUCUGGUGUACCAGUUGUCGUGCCAACGGCAUAGCUGGGUAGCUAUGUGUGGACGGGAUAAGUGCUGAAAGCAUCUAAGCAUGAAGCCCCCCUCAAGAUGAGAUUUCCCAACUUCGGUUAUAAGAUCCCUCAAAGAUGAUGAGGUUAAUAGGUUCGAGGUGGAAGCAUGGUGACAUGUGGAGCUGACGAAUACUAAUCGAUCGAAGAC